UACAGAGGUCUCAAGCGUUGUUCGGAAUCACUGGGCGUAAAGGGUGCGUAGGUGGCGUGGUAAGUCAGAUGUGAAAGCCCGGGGCUCAACCUCGGAAUUGCAUCCGAUACUGCCGUGCUAGAGUACUGAAGAGGUGACUAGAAUUCUCGGUGUAGCAGUGAAAUGCGUAGAUAUCGAGAGGAUACCAACGGCGAAGGCAGGUCACUGGGCAGUUACUGACACUGAGGCACGAAGGCCAGGGGAGCAAAACGGG
rnacentral:rRNA from 1 species